UGGAGGAAAGCAGGGGAUCGCAAGACCUUGCGCUCAUUGAGCGGCCGAUGCCUGAUUAGCUAGUUGGUGAGGUAAAGGCUUACCAAGGCGACGAUCAGUAGCUGGUCUGAGAGGACGACCAACCACACUGGGACUGAGACACGGCCCAGACUCCUACGGGAGGCAGCAGUGGGGAAUUUUGGACAAUGGGGGAAACCCUGAUCCAGCCAUGCCGCGUGAGUGAAGAAGGCCUUCGGGUUGUAAAGCUCUUUCAGCCGGAACGAAACGGUCACGGCUAAUACCUGUGACUACUGACGGUACCGGAAGAAGAAGCACCGGCUAACUACGUGCCAGCAGCCGCGGUGAUACGUAGGGUGCGAGCGUUAAUCGGAAU
rnacentral:rRNA from 1 species